UCACCCCAUACGCAGCCUGGGUACGUUUUACCUCUAGCAGUUAAUUUAACGCACAAUGAUUUAAUGGUGAAGUUAUGUUCACGAACGGAUGUUCACAUUCGCACGAACGAAUGAACACGUUAGCAUGAGGCGUUGGGAACGUGUUCAUGGCAGAUUAUGGAUGAAAAUAUCAUGACUGGAAAGCUUUUUCACGUAUGACUUAAGAUUGCAUCACCGGCGGUGGUGGGCGCACGUGCAGAAAACACGAAUGCGAGCUUCGGCUUAUAAAUUGGCAAAUUAUUAUUAUUAUUUAAAAUAUAUAUAAUGACAUAUUCCAAGUAUUCCGAAAAGACUAUUUAGGACAGAGGAUAAAAUAUCGUGUUGAUAAAAAGAGUACUACUACUACGGGAUUGUUCCUCAUUCCUUUACAGCAACGCUUUGCAGUAAAGCUAGGCGGAUUAAUUAUCAUAGUUUGAUAUUUGAAACAAAUCCACUAUGACGCGCGCCUUUUCAAGAAGAACGACGUGCAUCAUUCUAGCGAUGUUUCUUUUGUUGACGUUUUUUAGUACGUUGACGUCAUCCCAAUACUUGUGCCGAAGCGUCGGCUGGCUGGGUUGCAUAGACGUAGGAUGCAGUAACGGGAGUCGAGGGUACUGUAGAAACUUUGGGGAUCGCCCGCACAACGACUGUAAAUGCGUUAUGUACUGGUGACGACAGUCAAGUUGAGUCAUGUCACGUUGAGAUGGGCGAUGACGUAUGUAACUCAGGUUGUCAUUAAGUGUUUUCUGGUGAUGCCAUCAUAAAACUCUAAUGGAACAUAUUUAAGAUAAGUCAUUUGAAAGUUCUGAUUAAAUAUGUUCUAGUGAAGCCAUACAGAAGCUUUGCCCAAAAAGUCAGUGAAGUCAAAUGGAAGCUCUAACGUAUCAUGUUCAACUGACGUCGUCCAGCUUUUCAAAUAAAUAACGUUAAGUGACGUCUUAAGAUAUUUCUGACGAAACAUGUUUUUCUGACAGCAGUGGUGGACAUGUUCAAACAUUUUUAGAAUUGGCUGAUAGAUUUUGUCUGACUGCGUAUACAACUUCAAUACGGUGUUCAUGUUGAUGUCUAGUGUUUCCUGUAUUGAAAUUCACUCAGGUAAAUCUAGCCAUUGGAUGCUAAGGGAGUCUCGCUUGCCUGAUACGUUUUAAAUCGAGACUUUUAAAAAAAUAUGUCGUGUUUUUUUUCUCUUAAAAAAGAAUUAACUUGUAACAUGUUAAUGCUAAUAUCAUAUAAUAAUUUAAUGUUUUUAAUGUUGUUUAGUGACCGAAGGGGAGAAGGCUAGAGUACAAGAUGGCAGCUAGGGUUGUAUUUAUCUACUGUUUCAAAUGUUUUCAGAGACCUUGGGUUGGUUAAGGUUUUUGUGUUAUUUAUAUCAUGUUUGUAAAUCGGAUUAUUUAUUAUUUAUUGCCAUUCGAGCAUAAUAUUGUUGUCAUUCGAUCAUCACAAAAAAAACAUUAAAACAUGUUCUAAUGUUU